UUUUGAAUGAUGACAAAGCUUCUCAUAUGUUCGCAGUUGAGAGUUCAUUAGAAGGAUUCGAUGAAUUUUCACGUAGCCUUCACUUAGAUGUCUGACACAGAAG
rnacentral:snoRNA from 1 species